rnacentral:rRNA from 1 species
UGAGUACCUUACGUUUCCUCGGUGGGUUCGCCCACCGAUUGGACAAAUUUAA